ACACUAAAUACACGUCACACAGGUUACAGAGACGACACCUAAUACACGUCACACAGGUUACAGGAGACACUAAAUACACGUCACACAGGUUACAGAGAGACACCUAAUACACGUCACACAGGUUACAGAGAGACACCUAAAUACACGUCACACAGGUUACAGAGACACCUAAAUACACGUCACACAGGUUACAGAGACACCUAAAUACACGUCACACAGGUUAGAGAGAGACACCUAAAUACACGUCACACAGGUUACAGAGAGACACCUAAAUACACGUCACACAGGUUAGAGAGAGACACCCUAAAUACAUGUCACACAGGUUACAGAGAGACACCUAAAUACACGUCACACAGGUUACAGAGAGACACCUAAAU
rnacentral:lncRNA from 1 species